GGGAGGAUGGCCGAGCGGUUAAGGCGCUGUGUUUAGGUCAUCUAUUUUACCUGAAUCUAUCCCGCAGUGGGAAACCUCGUGGGUUCGAAUCCCACUCCUCUCA
rfam:Exophiala mesophila strain CBS 40295 unplaced genomic scaffold supercont1.4, whole genome shotgun sequence.